rnacentral:rRNA from 1 species
GAGUUUGAUCAUGGCUCAGAUUGAACGCUGGCGGCAUGCCUUACACAUGCAAGUCGAACGGCAGCACGGGUGCUUGCACCUGGUGGCGAGUGGCGAACGGGUGAGUAAUACAUCGGAACAUGUCCUGUAGUGGGGGAUAGCCCGGCGAAAGCCGGAUUAAUACCGCAUACGAUCUGAGGAUGAAAGCGGGGGACCUUCGGGCCUCGCGCUAUAGGGUUGGCCGAUGGCUGAUUAGCUAGUUGGUGGGGUAAAGGCCUACCAAGGCGACGAUCAGUAGCUGGUCUGAGAGGACGACCAGCCACACUGGGACUGAGACACGGCCCAGACUCCUACGGGAGGCAGCAGUGGGGAAUUUUGGACAAUGGGCGAAAGCCUGAUCCAGCAAUGCCGCGUGUGUGAAGAAGGCCUUCGGGUUGUAAAGCACUUUUGUCCGGAAAGAAAUCCUUGGUUCUAAUAUAGCCGGGGGAUGACGGUACCGGAAGAAUAAGCACCGGCUAACUACGUGCCAGCAGCCGCGGUAAUACGUAGGGUGCAAGCGUUAAUCGGAAUUACUGGGCGUAAAGCGUGCGCAGGCGGUUUGCUAAGACCGAUGUGAAAUCCCCGGGCUCAACCUGGGAACUGCAUUGGUGACUGGCAGCUAGAGUAUGGCAGAGGGGGUAGAAUUCCACGUGUAGCAGUGAAAUGCGUAGAGAUGUGGAGGAU